rnacentral:tRNA from 1 species
GGAGCGGUGGCAGAGUGGUCGAUUGCUGUCGCCUUGAAAGCGACCGGGCCUUCGCGGGUCCCGUGGGUUCGAAUCCCACCCGCUCCUCCA